rfam:Trichobilharzia regenti genome assembly, scaffold: TRE_scaffold0010463
AUCCAGCUGACGAGUCCUAAAUAGGACGAAAUGUGCAUCCUGGAU